rnacentral:tRNA from 2 species
GUGGCUGUAGCUCAGUUGGUAGAGCGCCGGACUGUGACUCCGGUUGUCGCGGGUUCGAUCCCCGUCAGCCACCCCA